UACGAAGGGGGCUAGCGUUGCUCGGAAUUACUGGGCGUAAAGCGCGUGUAGGUGGCGAUGUAAGUCGGGUGUGAAAUCCCUCGGCUCAACCGAGGAAGUGCACUCGAUACUGUGUCGCUUGAGUGUUGGAGGGGAUGGCGGAAUUCCCGGUGUAGAGGUGAAAUUCGUAGAUAUCGGGAGGAACACCUGUGGCGAAGGCGGCCAUCUGGACAACUACUGACACUGAGACGCGAAAGCGUGGGUAGCAAACAGG
rnacentral:rRNA from 1 species